AUCACUAUCAAGUAAUAACAACUUGCUACAAUACCCCAGAUAACUCAUGCACCUGCUAGAGUGAUUCAUCUGCAUUUCUUUUAGAAUGCGUUCUUAUCAAUCGAAUCUCCCGAACCAACAAAGCUUGUUUCCAGAACUCCUCAUUAACAUGGUCCUUCCACUUGGAACAUUAUUUUGGCCUAUAAUAUCAAAUACAACGUCAUGAAGCAUAUAGCUAUUGCAAUGGCAAUUUCGUGCAACUUUACUCGUAACAUACUAUCACAUAAUAUCUCUAUUUCACACUUCUUCACAUCAUCCGUCUUGCUCCAGUUGUAUGCAUUGCACCCUUCUCAAGGUAUUCUUCCUUAUUGAUAUCAAACCUAAAUACCAAAAACACUCACUAUUUGGGAUAUGAUUCUUGAUAGUGAAUCUACAAUAAUCUUUCUUCAAUUGUGACUAAAACCAUCCUAUCAACAAAUACGGACAGCAUGAAUCCCUGUCUUUAAUGUGCGUCGUAGACUCAUCCAUGACUGGAGCAGGAAAAAUAUGAAUUUAAGGUAGGAUAGGUACCUGAUGCAAGCCAGGUUAUAGCCAUAUGAAAAAUGCCAUAAGGCCCAGUAUCCCACAUUAUUUCGUCCCUGCAUCAUUCCCAAAGCUUAAGAGAAAUUGUAUAAACAAAUCAAAUAUAAAAAAUGUAAAGAAUCACAAAUGAAAUUCACCAACUGUAUCACAAAAUUGCUUACCAACCUUCUGGGGUGUUGACAUGUUGUUUGAUGAUGAAUCCUCCAGCCUGGCCGACAAAUUAACAAGAAAAAUCUCAAAAUCAAGUAUAAAUGAAGAUGAAAUAUAACAAGUAGUUAACAUCAUAGUCAGAAGGUUAUUAAAUAUUUUUGCAUAUAUUUUUCAUAUAAAUGUUGGAAGGAGGGAUUAGGGAAUGUGUGUGGGGAGGGAUGUCCGCAAGUAUACUUAAUUUCCCCUUUUUUUUUCCAUUUUUUUAUCCGUGUUUAUUAGUCAGUGCUUUCCUGAGAUACUCUUAACUCAAUAUGCUAAAUAAUGCCACACACUCAAAUUAGCAAAUCUCUUUCCAAGUAAAUCUUCUGUCUCCUGUAAAUUAUGCACUUGGUGAUCCAAAUCACUACUAAUACCUAAUAUACACUUCCAUGAAUCGAUCUUUGAAAAAGACGCACAUAAUUCCAAAUUUGUCUAGUUGAUUAGGUGAAUUCAGACUAUAAAAAUAUAGAAUAGAGUGAAAAAUCACAAGCUAUAAGGCAUCAAUAUCACCCACUUGUAAAAUUCCAAAUGUGAACAAAAGAGCUGAUCAGUCUGAUCAGACCAAAUCACCGUGCAACUACAUCAAUCUAACUCGGUCAUAUUCAAAUCCUAUUAAAUCAAUUGAUUUAAAUUAAUUAUACAUCCCAACAAUCCAGAGUUUAAAAUUUAACAAGUAAGAUUAUAAAAACAGAAAAAAAUAAUAUAUAUACUUUUUUUCCAAAAAAAAAAAAAUAAUAAUUAAAAAAAAAAAAAAAAUCUAACCUGUUAAGGUCCUGAAGGAUCCUGUUGAGAAGGGCCAGCCAUGAGAUUCCAGAAAGAGUCAAGGUUGAGGUGAAGGUCAUCACAAUUAUCGUCCGCCUGAAACAAUUCUUCUAUUACCAUCGAAGAUCUCCCACGUGUCUUUCAAUCAUCAUUUGUCUUCUUAUCG
rnacentral:lncRNA from 1 species